AUUCGCGCCAACCCCAACCCAGAGAAACUCUGCGCCAUCACCACUCAUCACCCCCAAAUCAGAGAAGACUCUGUGCCAUCACCACUCACUGUAACAUCACUAAUUUCUAACCCUUAAUCCCAAAAUCCCCAAAUUAACUCAGAAAAUCCUAAUUUCCCCAAUUCCUAACCUUAACAGCCACAACCUCACCCUCCUUCAACGUAACCACCACAGCGCCGCUGCAGCUAUUGCCACCUUCAGAGCUGCAGAAAGUUGUCCUCCCUGCCGUCGAAUGUCGCCGUUGUGUCACACAUGAGAGAGAGAGAGAGACAGAUUCGAGAGGAGCUACCCACGAUCGCUGUCGUCGAAGCCAGGCUUGUCGCCGUCACCACCCACGAAGCUGUGAGGAGCCGCUGUCAUGCUCGUGUCGCUGUGCGCCGUCGAGCUGCCCUCACCCUGAGCCGUCGAUCUGUCACCACGGCUACAAGGGCUUCUCACUGGAGCCAUGACUGUCACUGAGCUUUCGUCGCCGCUGCCGUUCAAGCCACUACUGCCGUCGAUUUGGAGUUGCUGUGAUUGGAGCCACUAGCGGGGGUGAGUUGCUACUGCCUUGUUGCCGUCCUAGUCAUAUUCAACAUCCACUGCCUUGAGCUGUUUCUGCCGUUGAGUUUGUUGAGUUUGGAUUCCUUGUGCUACUGUAACUGUCAUUAUUGCUGUGGGAACCAACGUUUCUGUUUGGCUGCUGCUGAAGGUCUUCCACCAUUGUUGGAGCUACCCAGAAUCAUCGUGGAAACUACCAAGAUAUAUGGUUGAUUUCUAAUUAUGCCAAGACAUCAUCACUAAUUAAGUUUUAUGUUAUUUUUUUAUUUUAUUUUAUGUACUGACUGCAUUAUAACUUGUGAAUCCCAUUUCCUUUUUGAUAUUCAAUGUUUUGACAAACUGCCAUGGUUUAUAAUCUAUUGAUACUUGCCAUUUUCAUGCUUAAUCAGUCUGAUUUAGAGAUAUUUUGGAGCUGACUAAGGCUUUGAUGAACAACCCAGCCGCUGCUUGUGCAAUCUGAUGAUGAACAUUUUUUUAAUGGUUGAGUAUAUUGCUAAAUUUUUUGCUUUAAUCACUAGGUGCUGUGUUAAGGAAUAAACAAAAUUUUUCUGCAACCCAGCAUGUUUAAAGAGAGUCGCAAGCUUCUGCUAGGCCCAUACAUCUUUGUUGUAUGCUAUAAUUGCUAGUGCUUCCUCUAAUGAACUUGUAUUCUAUAGUUGGAAAAUAAUUAAUGUUUCUCAUAUGUAAGGCUAUGUUCACACUGUAGGAGCGACUGUUGUUCAUCAAUUCUGCCAUCUUGGCUUUUUCUCUUUUCUUGGUGGUGGUUCUGUGGUUUUACAAGAUGUUCCAAAGUACACAAUGGUAGCCGGAGAAAGAGCCGAGCUUCGGGGUCUACAUUUAGUGGGCCUGGCUCGACGUGGAUUCAGCACUGCAGAGAUCAGGAACCUUAAAGCAGCCUAUCGGAAGAUAUUCAUGCGUGCUGAUGCAAAUGCCGGGUCAUUCGAGGAUAGGCUUGCCAAAGUGGCCAUGUUGCCGGAUUUUGUGCUCUGUGUGCAAUACAGAAUCAUGUAAGUCAUGCACUGCAUGCAUCUGGAAGAACAUUAUCCCCCGAGGAUCUGGUUGGGAAUCUGCGGUGCAUAUCACGAAAUUUCCAAAAUGCAAGGCAGGAGGAUGCACAUGAGUAUAUGGUCAACUUACUUGAGUCAAUGCAUAAAUGCUGCCUGCCUUCUGGUGUACCAAGUGAAUCACCUAGUGCUUAUGAGAAAAGUUUUGUUCAUAAAAUAUUUGGUGGUCAUCUGCGAAGUCAGGUGAAAUGUCAGCAGUGUUCCUUUUGCUCCAACAAGUUUGAUCCAUUCUUAGAUCUAAGCCUCAAAAUUUUCAAGGCAGAAUCAUUGCAGAAAGCACUUGCAAAUUUCACUGCUGCAGAAUGGUCGGAUGGAGGGGAAAGGCAAUACAAUUGUCAAAGAUGCAAGCAGAAAGUUAGGGCUCUAAAACAGCUUACGGUUCAUAAGGCACUUUAUGUGCUAACUAUUCACUUAAAGCGGUUCCAUGCGCACAAUCCUGGACAGAAGAUUAAAAAGAAGGUUCGGUUUGACUGUGCUCUGGACCUAAAACCUUUUGUCAGCGGCUCAUAUAUCUCAAUGUUUUCCAAUACAGAUUACUGGUUGGCCAUUGGAGUUAAUGGCUUAUUCUUAUUUAGCUGUUAGUCCUCCAAGCAUGAUAGCGCAAUUUGAAGAGCAGCACCAAAUAAAAGUACCGCCAAGAAAGAUUCGAGAUAUCCUGAAAUAGAGGAGCAAGCAUUGUGCGAAUCCAGUAUAUCAAAAUACAACAAUAAUUUGUAAUCCUCUUUAUAUUCAUUGAUACAUGAAAGUAGUAGUUUAGACAUGUUUCAUUUUUUUUUACUCUAUUGUUGAAUGAUUGUUCAAUUGGAUAGUUGGAUCCAUUGUUUUAUGUACUAAUAUAUUGUAACAUUACAGUGCUUGUGAAUCUUUAGAAUGUAUUUGCUGUCUUUUGCUAGAAUAUUUUUUAGUUUAAUAUAAUUGUGUAUUUAUUUUUAUUUUAUAA